rnacentral:rRNA from 1 species
CCUACGGGAGGCAGCAGUAGGGAAUAUUGCUCAAUGGGGGAAACCCUGAAGCAGCAACGCCGCGUGGAGGAUGAAGGUUUUCGGAUUGUAAACUCCUUUUGUUAGAGAAGAUAAUGACGGUAUCUAACGAAUAAGCACCGGCUAACUCCGUGCCAGCAGCCUCGGUAAUACGGAGGGUGCAAGCGUUACUCGGAAUCACUGGGCGUAAAGAGCGCGUAGGCGGGAUAGCAAGUCAGAUGUGAAAUCCUAUGGCUUAACCAUAGAACUGCAGUUGAAACUGUUAUUCUAGAGUAUGGGAGAGGUAGGUGGAAUUUGUGGUGUAGGGGUAAAAUCCGUAGAGAUCAAGAGGAAUACUCAUUGCGAAGGCGACCUGCUAGAACAUAACUGACGCUGAUGCGCGAAAGCGUGGGUAGCAAACAGGAUUAGAUACCCUUGUAGUC